ensembl:lncRNA
GACGAAUAUAAACACUUAUGAACAGUACAGCAUGACUGAUAUAACGUGGAAUUAAAUAUAAAAUGUAUAAAGCGUACAGUACGGUGAAUUCUCUCAUCCCAGAUCAUUCAAAAUAGUUUUCUGUGUUCAGAAUAACUGCAAGUUUACAAUCUCCUUGAUCGGGUAUGCGUUUAAACUGUUCUCAGUGUAGACCUGAUGUAAAUUUGUUGUAAACUUUAUGUAGACUCAGUGUAGAGUUGUUGUAAACUUUAUAUAGACUCGGUGUAGAUUGUUUGUAAACUUUAUGUAAACUCGGUGUAGAGUUGUUGUAAACUUUAUGUAAACUCAGUGUAGAGUGUUGUAAACUUAUGUAAACUUGGUGUAGAGUGUUGUAAACUUUAUAUAGACUCAGUGUAAGUGUUGUAAACUUUAUGUAGACUCAGUGUAGAGUUGUUUGUAAACUUUAUGUAGACUCAGUGUAGAGUUGUUGUAAACUUUAUGUAGAGUCAAUGUAGAGUUUUGUAAACUUUAUGUAGACACCAACAAAGACUCACCGCAUUACAACUGACAAAGACACACAGCAUAACAACUACACAACCUAUAACACUUUUACACUUUAUGUAGACUCAGUGUACACUUUAUUUACACUUUAUGUAGACUUUAUUUACACUGUGUAGACUCACUGUACACUUUAUUUAUACUUUCUGUAGACUUCAAUUACACUGUUAUGUAGACUCAGUGUACACUUUAUUUACACUUUAUUUACACAUUAUUUACACUUUAUUUACACAUUAUUUACACUUUAUGUACACUUUAUUUAUACUUUAUGUAGACUUUAAUUGCAAUUUUAUGUAGAGUCAGCGUACACUUU